CAUCUCCCUCUUUUAACCGUUCUCAACUCCGCCGCUCCACCCUCCCCCCUUCCCUCUUCAUCUCUGAUUCUUACGUUUCUCAUCACUCUCUUUCUCUCUCCUCCGCUCCAAGCCCCGCUUCUCCCUUCAAUCUCGCCCUCUCCCUUCUAGAACCCGUGCCGCUCCCGAGGCCGUCAAGGCCCAAACCCUAGAACCGCCAACUGGAACCCUAGACGCUGGCUUCCAGGGAUCUGAUGAGGCUUCCCUUCUCUCCGCUGGCACCGAUGCGGAAAAGGAAUCUGAGGUUGAUAGGAGGAAUAUAAAGCUAUCAAGUGGCUUGAGAUCGAGAUUGGCUACAAGAAUCUGAAGGGACAUUGAUCCCUGCAAACCCUACCAUGACGAAAGCAGCUCCGAGGUACUC